rfam:Anolis carolinensis chromosome 4, whole genome shotgun sequence.
CCAUAGGUUGUACUGACAACCACUCAUAGGUAUUUAGAAAGAGAC